UGGGGAAUUUUGGACAAUGGGCGAAAGCCUGAUCCGGCAAUGCCGCGUGCAGGAAGAAGGCCUUCGGGUUGUAAACUGCUUUUGUACGGAACGAAAAGGCUCUUUCUAAUAAAGAGGGCCCAUGACGGUACCGUAAGAAUAAGCACCGGCUAACUACGUGCCAGCAGCCGCGGUAAUACGUAGGGUGCGAGCGUUAAUCGGAAUUACUGGGCGUAAAGCGUGCGCAGGCGGUUCUAUAAGACAGAUGUGAAAUCCCCGGGCUCAACCUGGGAAUGGCAUUUGUGACUGUAGAGCUAGAGUACGGUAGAGGGGGAUGGAAUUCCGCGUGUAGCAGUGAAAUGCGUAGAUAUGCGGAGGAACACCAAUGGCGAAGGCAAUCCCCUGGACCUGUACUGACGCUCAUGCACGAAAGCGUGGGGAGCAAACAGGAUUAGAUACCCAUGUAGUCCCUGAGCGGGCUGGCAAGGCGCAU
rnacentral:rRNA from 1 species